rnacentral:rRNA from 1 species
UGGCGGCAGUAGCGCGGUGGUCCCACCUGACCCAUGCCGAACUCAGAAGUGAAACGCCGUAGCGCCGAUGGUAGUGUGGGGUCUCCCCAUGCGAGAGUAGGGAACUGCCAGACA